rnacentral:rRNA from 1 species
UAACAGAGGGAAACUUACUGAUAAUACUGGAUAAGUUAGUAUAUCGCAUGAUAUGCAAAUGAAAGCUACGGCACUAAAGGAGAGCUUUGCGUCCUAUUAGCUAGUUGGUAAGGUAAGAGCUUACCAAGGCGAUGAUAGGUAGCCGGCCUGAGAGGGUGGACGGCCACAAGGGGACUGAGAUACGGCCCUUACUCCUACGGGAGGCAGCAGCA